ensembl:lncRNA
GAUGGAGAUUGCUGCAUAUCUGAGGCCUUCUGAAGAAUUACUGUGUGAGUAGUCACCAGCCUUGAAGAGAAAAGAAGAGACGACUGUUUAAGAAAAAAAAAUUUCAGAUUCAAAGAAAACCAUGGAAUACAAGACUCUCUCCAAAUAUGUAUUCCUUACCUUACCAUGGGAUUGCAGAAGCACUUCUCUACAAAUAAGAAGCUGAGAACUUUGGACAAAGAGCAGAGCAGAGUCACUCCUCUCCCUAAUAGUUCUUUCCAGCUUAAAUUGACUGUGGACUAAGGUGUUGAAUUAUCUUAGAAGAUCUGAAUGCCCUAGGAAGUCAUUUUCAAUUAGAUUAUUAUUAGAUAAUUAUUUGAAAUGAGGUGAUGUCCUCGUGAAGACACAAUCUAAACAUCCUUUUUCUCUAUUUUUCCUUGUCUGUUGAAUUUAUUAACAUUGUAGAAAGUGUAGUAGGUAAAUUAUUUCAAAGACUGAGCUAGAUGUAACCUGAUGCUAGCUUUCUGCAACCUCCCUUCUACUUGCUCCUGUUGUGUGAGUAGUGCUGAUCAGACAGUUUAGAUUUAGAUCAACACUACUUGCCACAGCAAGCUGAAUAACCUCCUGACCUUCAGUUCUAUUGUGAUACACGUUUCCUUCUCUCUGAGGUGAAAGUAACUUAAACUGAAGGGAAAAUGAGGUCUUCUUCUCAGUUUAGUCAAGAUUCAAGACAUUGCGUUAAGACAUCAGGCACGCUGAAUUGGUAGAGUUUUUUAUUUUCUACAGAAUAUGUCAAAUGUAAAAGCUAGUUUUUUCUGCACCCUUACAUUCACCUAUGUCUUGCACACAAAGUUCAGAUUGCUGUGUGAAAAAAAAUUAAAUGAGAACAUAAAAAAUGAGAAACUAAUUUUUUCUGCUUCCUCCCUCCGUUCUGCCUAGAAUGUGUAUCAACAUGUUGUGGCCUGCAUAAAGGCAGCCAGAGUGAAACAUGCUUCUGAGAUUUUAAUCCAAAUUUAUUUUUUCAAAUCUAAGUAAUAUAUAAAACAGAUUAAGAGUCCAGUAGUCACAAUAGCAAUGAUAGAUAAGGGAUUAUUACUAUUCCAACAAAUAAUAUUUCUGUAUCUUAAUGUGAAGUUUGUCUUGUGUUGAUUUUUCAAUUCUCUUGCAUAGGCUGAAGCCAUUUGAUAAAUGUCCUUUCAGCUUCAGAGUAUUUUGUUUGAGUUUUAACAUGUGUGUAUUGGUAGGGUAGCUUACGUGGUGUGGUGCAAUUGCUCAAGAAAAAUAGUCAUGGUACUAUCUGAUGUCCCAUCAAUGUUAGCAGGGAGACAGAGUAAGAGUUUGAUGAGGAUAUAUUGGUUUAUGAAAUUACCAGUUCACCAUUGUAGUUGCAUUUAUUUGUAUUACCAGGAUUAAUAUUUCCAAGAAAUAAACUGUGGUU